CUACGGGAGGCAGCAGUGGGGAAUAUUGGACAAUGGGGGCAACCCUGAUCCAGCCAUGCCGCGUGAGUGAAGAAGGCCCUAGGGUUGUAAAGCUCUUUCAGAUGUGAGGAUGAUGACAGUAGCAUCAGAAGAAGCACCGGCUAACUUCGUGCCAGCAGCCGCGGUAAUACGAAGGGUGCUAGCGUUGUUCGGAAUUACUGGGCGUAAAGGGCGUGUAGGCGGAUGAUCAAGCUAGGGGUGAAAGCCCAGGGCCCAACCCUGGAACUGCCUUUAGAACUGAUUGUCUAGAAUCCGUAAGGGGAGUGUGGAAUUCCUAGUGUAGAGGUGAAAUUCGUAGAUAUUAGGAAGAACACCAGUGGCGAAGGCGGCACUCUGGUACGGUAUUGACGCUGAGGCGCGAAAGCGUGGGGAGCAAACAGGAUUAGAUACCCUGGUAGUCCACGCCGUAAACGAUGUCUGCUAGCCGUUUGGACACUUAGUGUCUGGGUGGCGCCGCUAACGCAUUAAGCAGACCGCCUGGGGAGUACGGUCGCAAGAUUAAAACUCAAAUGAAUUGACGG
rnacentral:rRNA from 1 species